GUGUUUGCUUCGGCAACACAUAUACUAAAAUUUGAAUGAUACAGAGAAGAUUAGCAUGGCCCAUGCACAAGGAUGACAUGCAAAUUCAUGAAGCAUUCCAUAUUAAA
rnacentral:snRNA from 1 species